AGAUUACGUAUGGAUGUUGAGCAUGGAAGGCCUUUACUCCACAAUUAAAACGGUUCAGAUUUCCUGUGUAGGCCCAUCCCCGGGGACUGAAAACCUGGUGUAGACAACUCAUAAAUAAAGCGAGUGAGACAUGAGCAAGAAAAAGCAUAGCAUACUUCUGGGAAUCACUCCAGGAAAAUAAAUGUGCAAGAUGGCACAUCACCCUACACAAAGCUGGCAGAGCAUUUGGAAGCUCCAUCUCCCUGAGUAAAUAAGAGCACUACAACUACUGCCUACGCUGUGACAGAACAAAAAGUCCUUUGGCCCAGAUGUGAGCAUGACUAUAUUCUAUACCUCCUCUCCCCAAGCCCUAUCCACUCCAGAUACAAUAUGACAGCAUGGACUGCGAGCAGACUGCUUAUGAGCAUUUCUGUGCUAGUGUGCUAAACUACCACGCUCACUCAGGCGCUCAGAUGCCAUCAAGCUCUAAAGAAAAGUCUUUGUGCCUACAUCUGCGGUCAGUCCUGUAUGCUUGCACUAUGAAGUAUGAAUAAGUGUGAUUUUUCAGCAGGGUUCAGGUCUACUUUCAGUGGAGUGCAGAUGAAGGUCUUCAGUGAUUAUGUAAAUGUACUAAUUAUGUAAAUCUAGGAGACUUAUGACAAUUAGAAUUAAGGCUGAGAAUGUAAACACGGACCUUGUUAUCUUGCACUUGGAGAAAGUGUUAUUUUCUGAACAAUGUAACACAUUAAAACCUCAAUUC
rnacentral:lncRNA from 7 species